CAAAAAGAGAGGGUGAUCGGCCACACUGGGACUGAGACACGGCCCAGACUCCUACGGGAGGCAGCAGUAGGGAAUCUUCCGCAAUGGACGAAAGUCUGACGGAGCAACGCCGCGUGAGUGAAGAAGGUUUUCGGAUCGUAAAACUCUGUUGUUAGGGAAAAACAAGUGCCGUUCGAAUAGGGCGGCGCCUUGACGGUACCUAACCAAAAAGCCACGGCUAACUACUUGCCA
rnacentral:rRNA from 1 species